CGCUGACAUCAAAUUUUGCAAACGAAUCGGCGGUGGGGUGGCGGCGACGCCGGUAGGGGCGACGGUUUCUGUCCGUCUCGUCUUCUUGUUUCCUGUCCAUUAUCUGCUUCUCUGCACGGUCAAUCUACCCGACGCUUUACUGAAAUUUCGUCGAUCGGCCUCUCGCUGGAAAGCAGAUAAGAUGGGGAUAAUCAGAGGUAGUUUCUGCUUUCUAGUGGGGACUGGCUGUGGAAUGUACAUUGCCCAGAAUUACAAUGUUCCGAACAUAAAGAGACUCAUAAAUACAUAUAUGUUUGUGGCAAAGCACAUAGAAGAAACCUACAGGAAGUCUAAGAAAGAUGACGACUAACAAGCAGGGAAGUGACAUUUUCAUUGAUAUUGACUUACCAGAUUUUCCAUGACAGCAUACCUGUAGGAUAGUUGAAGAUCAUUACAAUUCAGCUGAUCAUGAUUUGGGAGCAAACAACUCCAAAAGCAGUGGGGCAGGUUGAAGGAAGCCAUUAGAAGAGCAAAGUGAAUUCGUCUCCUGCCUCCUCCUCCUCCUCCUUGCAGUUGCCAGAGAGAUAGAGAUGAUGCAUAUUGAUGGCUUGAGAUGGGAGCAUAAUGAUGAGGGAAUGGAGGGGAAGGCAUGAGCUGCCGCCAUUAAUGAUGCUGCCAAGGUGCAGCAACUCUCUGUGGCAGAUCAUGGUCUGAUCAGUAAGAUCAAAUCCUUCACUUUUGCUCAGACUUCAUCUUUCAAUGCUUCAUCAAACAAAUGCUAGCAAAACAUCAAGUCCUAACUAAUUUAUCAAUACCCUUUCUCUUUCUGGAUAGAUAUAUCAGUCAGUUUUAUUUAAAAUUAUCGAUAAAUCUUGAGAAAACUCUUUUAAUGUAUUUAUGCCUCUGGAUCUAAAUUCGAUAACAUAAAUUAAGAACGGUGAAUUAAAUUGAGAGCACAUCUCUAAAUUUUUACUUUACUAGUUUAAGAAUUCAUUGUUUUCAAUUUACGCUGAUCCGGUGAUAAGGAGGGGUUCUGGUCAGUAGGGUGGUUAAUGACAUGGUGGAGGUCAAAGUCAAGCUAGUCAACUUCCCGGUAUUAUUGUCCGAUCGGACAACCCCCUUUUCCAAUUUUGAGGAAGAACUGCCGAGCCUACAUGAAGCAGACGUUAGCACAGCUCGGCCAAGUACCAAGCUUUCGGCGCUCAGACAAACAAGGUAUGCGUCGAGCGGCUAGUCCGCUCGGACUCACACCGGCAAAAUAGUGACGACCGAGCAGACUACAUUCAAACAUAGCUUCUCCGUUCUAUAUAGCAGCGGAGCCUGGACAGCGGAUGCUUGCCGAGCGGCCAUUCCGCUCGGCCCGAGGACAAGAUCGCCCGGACGGUCGAUAGUUGGUCGAGCGGCUCUUCCGCUCGGCUUGUAACAGACAAAAGGAGGAUAAGAGGAUAUCUUUCUGGGAAUCUGUGCCGCCGACAGACGGCAUGCUUGGUGGCAUGGUCAGGUAGAAGAUCGUACGAUGGAAGCUUCCGCUAUCUUGUCAAAGAUAUGCUCGGGUCGUUAAGGUAUGAUGUUAGAGAUACUUUUCUGUCACGUCUCUUCAGGGUAUGCAUCGGGGAGCGUGCACGCGCUCCCAGAGAGUCCUAUAUAAAGACCCCCAAGAUUUGACGGAGGUAUGCAUAAUCUCUACUGUAGCCACAGUUACUCUGUCAUUUUGCUUCCUCGUUUCUUCUACAUUGUUGGUGUUUGACUUGAGCGUCGGAGGGUCAUCGUCGGGGAACCCCUCCCCGGCUCGGCACUGACGUUGCUGUGGUUACAGACUUCAUUGACGAAGAGUCCACCACUAAUCAUCAGGAGUGCUGCGCCCUCAGUAUCCAUUGUCUCAACUCUUGGAUAGGAUCAUAUGCUGUCAAAUUUAAACUUGAGAGCAUAGAUAUUUCAAGAUGGUUUUCAAAAAUACAUUAAUUUUUGUUUAAAAUGAUUCAGAAUUUUGAAUGACUUAACACCAUUUGAAAAUUUAAAAGUGUGUUAUUUUUCAAAUUAGGAAAAGUUUUAGGAACAAAUUGAUAGUGUUGUUAAUUAGUAUCAUUAACUUAGGCUUUAUAAUGAAUUUAUGAUAAAUUUUAUCAAGUAUUUACAAGCUUAAUAAUUUACUAUUCUUAAUUUAUGUUGUAAAUUUCGAUCCGAUUGGAUAAAUAUAAUAAGAAGGCUUUCAAAAUUACAUUUGUUUUAAUUUGAAAUGAUUUGAAGUUUUCUAGUGUUACCCAUCAAUUUUAAACGAAACUCCCUGAUGAACUUAUAGAGAAAGAAGAAGGGUAUUUCGAAAAUAUAAUAUGUGAUUUAGAUAUUAUAAAAAUUGAUUACGUGAUUUAAAUAAUAUCAAAUUUUACUUACCCAAUCCGUAAAAUGCCGAUAGGAAAGGAUUUCUCCAAGAUGAAAUCUUGGAGAGACAAAUGGAGUGUUCAAUGCACACCCACCAAACCUGUUGGCUCAAACCAAGGCUCCUCCAUGGCAAUGCGUAUUGGAUACUUUGAAUGGUGCCACAAAUAACAACACAAAACAAAGCCAAAGAUUCGACAGGAUACUAAUGAACUGCCCUCACAAAGAAUCCAAUGCUCUUCUCUCUCUCUCUCUCUCAAACGCAUGCCACUUUAAGUUCUAUUCUGUUCUGCUUCUUCUCUCCUCUUCCUUUUGUUCAUGAUUUUUAUUUUUAUGUUUCUUUCUUUCUAUUAACUAUUUACCGAGCUCUGCAGUAAUCAGGGCUUGUGGGGGUCCUCCAUUCCAAAAGCCUCCAAAAUGUUUAAGAUCACGUUGGCAAUUGCAGAUAGCACAGUCUGCAGAUCAGAAGGAAGCAAGGAAUAACAUGGAUCUCAGAAGACAUGGUGCAAGCUCCAAGCUUUUGAUCGCUUCUCCUUCUGUUUCCUGUGGAGAGAGUAAAAACGAGGAGGGAGGCAGUGUAGGGACAGAGAAGGUGGCAGAACCAGACCAGCUGGAUCGAGAAGUGGACCGUUGCUACGCGGACGAGGACGGCGGCGAUGGCUACCGCACGCCGACGUCGCCGAGCCGUAGAAUUCCGGAGCCUCUCUCCUGCCCGCCGGCGCCCAGGAAGUCUAAGCCUUCUUCUUCUUCUUCUUCGCUGAGGUUGAAGAGGAGGAAGAGGAGCAGAGGAACGGAGGCGGAGGGGAGCGGGAGCUUUGCCAGCUCUAGCCCGGAGCUGGAGGACUUGCCUCCGGAGAGCAAGAAGGCUAGGAAGAUGCUGCAGUGGAAGAGUGUGAUUGAAGAAGAUGCUGCUGCUGCUGCUCCUCUGUUUGAGCUGCAUAAAUGAUCAGAACUUUUCUUUAAUUUCUUUUUAUUUAUUUAUUUGUUUUCA